rnacentral:rRNA from 1 species
UGCCAGCCGCCGCGGUAAUACGUAGGUGGCAAGCGUUGUCCGGAUUUACUGGGCGUAAAGAGCGCGCAGGCGGCCAGGUCAGUCGAAUGUGAAAGCCCCCGGCUCAACUGAGGAGGGUCAUUCGAUACUGCUUGGCUCGAAGAUAGGAGAGGGAAGUGGAAUUUCAGGUGUAGUGGUGAAAUGCGUAGAUAUCUGAAGGAACACCAGUGGCGAAGGCGACUUUCUGGCCUAUUCUUGACGCUGAGGCGCGAAAGCUAGGGGGGCGAACGGGAUUAGAUA